GAGCCGGUUCUGGCCCGCCGCGGCUCCGCCGGCGAAGCUUGGCUAAGCUGGGCCACCGACUGAAGGAAGAGAGAGAGACAGAGUGAUGAGGAUGGUUGGCUUUCAGUGCUUGGGAAGAGACCGUUUAUUUGCGUUUGGGUUUUGUCCCCAGGUCAAGGCUGGGAUUCCUGGAACCUAGGGUUAGGAGUGGGGAGGCUGUAUAGUACUUAGACUUGUAGGGCCAAAGCAGCAACUCCCUCCUUACACCUUAGUCAUUUCUAACUCAGAGCCUAAGUUACCUGAAGAGGGCCUCAGGACCCCGGCCAGCUGAAUUUAGUAAGAUAAUGCCAAACCUGCCCAGGCCCUAGUCCGAAGCAAGGCAUUUCUCCACUUCUCUGUGUUCUGCCAGUAAUUUCAGAGAGUAAGAGUAGGAAAGAUGUGGUAGGGGAAUUGGAAGGCCCCCAGCCUCCUAUUGCUGCUGAUUUUCCAAAGCUUUUGCAGGGAAAUGCGGAUGGUUAGCCUAGAAAAGUAAGAUGGUCAGUGACCAGAGGGGAGGAGCCCACGUUCUGAAUCAGUGCUUUUCAAGGAAGAGAAGGUUAAACAAUAAGCCCAGGCAGUCAGGAAAUCCAGGAAGGCACCAGGUGGGUGGAGUGGGGUAGUCUCCCCUCAGGAAAACAGGUCAAUUUGAGAAAGAAUGCUGGCAGGGGUGAGGGGAAGAGAGGAUCCCAGCCUUUUCAGGUCACCACCAAGGUUCUGCAGUUCCUCAGAGAGCGGAACACACAACCAGAAAAGAAGUUUGGAGAUCUCUGGUUUGGAAAACUGACUCCUGGAGAGCAAGAAUUUGUCAGUGACUCUCCAGCGUGAUCCAGACAGAGGGUGCCCGGCCAGAGUCUGAGUUACCCACGGUCAACUGCCUUCAGGAAGCAGAUCAUCUUCCUGACGGAUCCUGGGAAGGUCCAUACUGCCCAGCACUACGUCAUAUGCCUGCGUCAGUCCUCUCACUUCGUCUUAUUACGUCAGAGGUAUCGUCUCACAUCACCACAAGA